GAGAUGAUCUCCAAACUAAGCAUAAAGUUUACUAAAUAGGCAUAAUUAUUCAUAUAUAUUUUUUGCAAAUGGUAAUAAAUAUUCUUUUCUUUCCAUCUGUUUUUUAAGCCAGUGCCUAACCAGGUUCAACGAAUUUGCUGCUAUCCUGAGACUGAUUCUCAGUAGACACAAAGGACUGGCGCACACACUAUCAUAUGGCAGGAUGCGAUGGAAUGGGAAGGUCCUCAUUAUUUCCAAAUUCAUAUGUUGAAGCCCUAAACCCCUAGUGUGGCUAUAUUUGGAGACAAAGCCUCUAAGGAAAUGAUUAAUGUUAAAUGAAGUCACAAUGGUGAGAUGCCAAUCUGACAGGUUUGGUGUCCUUAUAAGAAGAGACUCAGAGAGCUCCAUAACCCCGCAGCCCAACACAAAGAAGAGGAGGUCAUCCGAAUACACAGGGAGAAGCAUCCAUCUCUGCAAGCAAGGAAGAGAUGCUCACCAGAACCUGAACAUGCUGACACCCUGACCUUGGACUUCCCCAGCCUCCAGAACUGUGAGAAAACAACUUCUGUCGUUUAAUCCAUGCAGUCUGUGGUAUUUCGUUACGACAGCCCAAACAGACUAAUACAUUAGAGUAAAAAGAAGCAAAGUAGCAUAGUCUGGAGCCGGCAGUACCUGCAGGAAGCUUCUCCACUAGAAAGAUAAAGUAGCUUCCCUAGCUAAUUCUGUGUUUGGCUGUAUUGUUGCAGCCCUCCUAAAGGGUCUGUGGGCAAGACGGAUCCCUUAGGAGAUGCCUUUCUACCUAAACAGCUAGAGCAUCUUCUCCUAAGAACCUACCCAUACAGCACACACUCACUUCUAAUUAAUUUAUUUAGAUACUUUCAUUUCUAAUUUCUAUAUAUUUUUUCGUCAUCAAAAUUGCCUGUUUUACAUUCGAAGAGGCAGUACUUGGAAGAGUACCAUUUUGAGCAUACUUAUUGUGGCAGGCCCCUCAAAGAUGUCCAUGUCCUCAUCUCCAGAACCUGUGAAUAUAUUAGGCAAUAUGACACAAGGAAAUGAAAGUUACAGAUAGAAUUCACUGACUCUAAGAUAGGGAUAUUAUGUUGAAUUAUCUGGGUGGGCCAAAUGUGAUCAGAAGGAUCCUCAUGAGAGGAACAGGGAGGCAGAACAGCAUCAGAGGAUGCUACGUGAGAAAGACUCAGCAGGCCGUUGCUGGCUUUGGAGCUGGAGGGGGCCAUGGGCCAAGGAACUCGGCAGCUUCUAGAAGCUGGAAAAGGGAAGAGAGUGAAUUGUCCCCUAGAGCUUCCAGAAGAAGCACAGCUCUGCCAACACCUCGAUUUUAGCCCAAUGAGACCCAUUUUGAACUUCUGACCUCCCAAGCAAUAAGACAGUAACUGUGUUGUUGAUCCCAUCAAGUCGGUGGUGAUCUGUCACAGCAAUAAUCAGAAACCCACACACUGGUUAAGACAUGAACUUUCGAAUCAGAAUCAGAGAGAAUAACGAUCAAAUUACAACCUCACCACCCGUAAACUAUGCACCCUUACAAAAGAAAUUUAAUUUCUGUAAGGCUUUGAUUCCUCAUCAAUAGAAUGGUAUGGUAAUAAUGUAAUAAUAUUCUAUAAAACUGUGUAAGAACUGCCCCUUGGGUCAGUUGUGAGGAUUCAUUUACGUGACCCACGGUACGUACCUGACAAAUAUUUGACAUAUAAUAGUCAUUAAAAACAUUUUUUUAAGAAUUUUCCAUUCAUAUGAUUUAUAGUCAUAAUUUUCUUUGUAAUCAUACUCUUUCUCUGGCUUUACCUAGUUUUAUUUAUUUGUUUUUUUAAUAACAAAGUUGUGAUUCUUUUUUUAAAGAUUUACCCUGAGCUAACAUCUGUUGCCAAUCUUCCUCUCUGUUGCUUAUUUUUCCUCCCCAAAGCCCCA
rnacentral:lncRNA from 1 species